rnacentral:rRNA from 1 species
UACAGAGGGUGCGAGCGUUAAUCGGAAUUACUGGGCGUAAAGGGCGCGUAGGCGGUCAGACAAGUGAGAUGUGAAAUCCCCGGGCUUAACCUGGGAACUGCAUCUUAAACUGUCUGGCUGGAGUACUGUAGAGGAUAGUGGAAUUUCCGGUGUAGCGGUGAAAUGCGUAGAGAUCGGAAGGAACAUCAGUGGCGAAGGCGGCUCACUGGCCCGGUACUGACGCUGAGGUGCGAAAGCGUGGGGAGCAAACAGG